rnacentral:misc_RNA from 1 species
GGAAGUAAAGUCGUAACAAGGUUUCCGUAGGUGAACCUGCGGAAGGAUCCUUAUCGAGUUUUUACUGGGUUGUAGCUGGCCUUCCGAGGCAUGUGCACGCCCUGCUCAUCCACUCUACACCUGUGCACUUACUGUGGGUAUCAGAUCGUGAAGCGUGCUCUUUACCGGAGCUUGUGAAGCGUGUCUGUGCCUGCGUUUAUCACAAACACUAUAAAGUAUCAGAAUGUGUAUUACGAUGUAACGCGUCUAUAUACAACUUUCAGCAACGGAUCUCUUGGCUCUC